rnacentral:rRNA from 1 species
AACGAACGUAGCGGCGCGCUUAACACAUGCAAGUCGCACGAGAAAGGGCUUCGGCCCCGGUACAGUGGCGCACGGGUGAGUAACACGUGGGUAAUCUUCCCUCGGGCGGGGGAUAACAUUCCGAAAGGAGUGCUAAUACCGCAUAAGACCACGGCUUCGAAAGGAGCUGAGGUCAAAGCCGGCUCCUAUUCAUAAGCUGGCACCUGAGGAUGAGCCCGCGGCCCAUCAGCUAGUUGGUAGGGUAAUGGCCUACCAAGGUAAAGACGGGUAGCUGGUCUGAGAGGAUGAUCAGCCACACUGGAACUGAGACACGGUCCAGACUCCUACGGGAGGCAGCAGUGGGGAAUCUUGCGCAAUGGGCGAGAGCCUGACGCAGCGACGCCGCGUGAGUGAUGAAGGCCUUCGGGUUGUAAAGCUCUGUGGGGAGAGACGAAUAAGUCGGAGCUAAUACCUCCGGCGAUGACGGUAUCUCCUUAGCAAGCACCGGCUAACUCUGUGCCAGCAGCCGCAGUAACAC